CAUAUCAAUAAGCGGAGGAAAAGAAACUAACAAGGAUUCCCCUAGUAACUGCGAGUGAAGCGGGAAAAGCUCAAAUUUAAAAUCUGGCAGUCUUUGAUUGUCCGAGUUGUAAUCUAGAGAAGUGCUAUCCGCGCUGGACCGUGUACAAGUCUCCUGGAAUGGAGCGUCAUAGAGGGUGAGAAUCCCGUCUUUGACACGGACUGCCAGGGCUUUGUGAUGCGCUCUCAAAGAGUCGAGUUGUUUGGGAAUGCAGCUCAAAAUGGGUGGUAAAUUCCAUCUAAAGCUAAAUAUUGGCGAGAGACCGAUAGCGAACAAGUACCGUGAGGGAAAGAUGAAAAGAACUUUGGAAAGAGAGUUAAACAGUACGUGAAAUUGCUGAAAGGGAAACGCUUGAAGUCAGUCGCGUUGUCCAGGGAUCAACCUUGCUUUUGCUUGGUGCACUUUCUGGUUGACGGGUCAGCAUCAAUUUUGACCAUUGGAAAAAGAUUAGGGGAAUGUGGCAUCUUCGGAUGUGUUAUAGCCCUUGGUUGCAUACAAUGGUUGGGAUUGAGGAACUCAGCACGCCGCAAGGCCGGGUUUUUACCACGUACGUGCUUAGGAUGCUGGCAUAAUGGCUUUAAUCGACCCGUCUUGAAACACGGACCAAGGAGUCUAACAUACCUGCGAGUGUUUGGGUGGAAAACCCGAGCGCGUAAUGAAAGUGAAAGUUGAGAUCCCUGUCGUGGGGAGCAUCGACGCCCGGACCAGACCUUUUGUGACGGUUCCGCGGUAGAGCAUGUAUGUUGGGACCCGAAAGAUGGUGAACUAUGCCUGAAUAGGGUGAAGCCAGAGGAAACUCUGGUGGAGGCUCGUAGCGAUUCUGACGUGCAAAUCGAUCGUCAAAUUUGGGUAUAGGGGCGAAAGACUAAUCGAACCAUCUAGUAGCUGG
rnacentral:rRNA from 1 species